UACGUAGGGAGCAAGCGUUGUCCGGAUUUAUUGGGCGUAAAGAGCGUGUAGGCGGCUUUACAGGUCCGUUGUGAAAACUCGAGGCUCAACCUCGAGACGCCGGUGGAAACCGUAAAGCUAGAGUCCGGAAGAGGAGAGUGGAAUUCCUGGUGUAGCGGUGAAAUGCGCAGAUAUCAGGAGGAACACCCGUGGCGAAAGCGGCUCUCUGGGACGGUACUGACGCUGAGACGCGAAAGCGUGGGGAGCAAACAGG
rnacentral:rRNA from 1 species